AGAAGAGAGUGGAAUUGGCUCCGUUGGACUAAGAGGAGACUUUCAGUGUCUGGGAGCUGCCAUCAGCUGGUGUUUUUGCACAUCUCGCAAAAUGUGGACAAAUGUGACAGAGCUCAAGGAGAGAGGAUAAAGGACUUUUGCUGAGGACAGUCACAGGCUGCUGUGUGCUGCUUUGCUGCCAGAUUGAACAGUUCCUCAGGAAAGCACUUGGCCCCAGAGGCAAGACCAAAGUGAUGCUUUGCAGUCCCUGGUGUGAGCUGGAGGUGGCUGGCACAGGGAGGACUUCCAUAAAAAACAAAACCACAACAGUCAGGGUUUAUCAUGAGCACAGUGCAGCCACCUGUAAGAAUCUCCAGAAGAUGAAAAGCUGGUGCAUGACUAGAGGAUCCUUUCAUGAAAUGUAAGUAAAAUUAAUAGGUGGAUUUUGUUUUGAGCUUUUGAAACAUUUCAAAAUUCCCAGUUCUGACAAAAUUUCAAAUGGAAGUUUCAGAUGUCUCCUCCUCACUUAUGUUUCUCUUCAGGCUUCUCUCUCCCUCUUACACCAUGGUUUUUAAUGUUAUUAACAUGUAAAUUAGUCUUAUUUACAGAAAAUAACAUCUUGACAAGUUGACAAGUGUUGUGUAUGACAAGAGUUUGGUCUGGGAGG